GAGGAAGUAACUCCAGAUCCUUGUGAUUGGUCGUAAUAACACAGUGCUUCCUGUUGGUUGAAUACACCACAGCCAAGGCUUCCCUUCCUUCCUUGCUCACUGCCCCCUUCUCCUCACUUCAUUCCAAGUUCUCAGACAAGCCAGACCCUGGUUUGGCUAGACCUAGCUAGCCAGGACAAGAAGUGUUUCACUCCUAGCUAUUCUGGCUGCUGAAGCUCAUCUCUUGCCAACUUGGAGUUAGAGGAGCAGCAUUUGUUAUCAUUCCAUUGACUACAUCACUCAUCAAGAGCCAACGUUGUGAUCAGUUUUUAAUUAUCAUUGGCUUCGCUUUAGAUCACUGUCACUGUGCCCCAUUGACUGAUUGUAGAUGGUUUCCAAAUAUUUCGAUCAAUCAUUGUGCACUUGCUAAUUUUCUUUCCUCACUGUCACAUCAGUUAAUUAUUGAGGAGAACUUGGGGGAAUAUGUUGGGGUUUCUUUCUCAAAGAAAUCUCUUAGUACUAUCCUUCUGUCUCUCUCAUCAGAGAUCUUAGUUGUGAUGUCACCGAAAGGAUCUAACGCUUUCCCCGGAUUGGAUCAGAUUGCAUAGCAGCGUUAUUGACUUCUCAAUUUUUUCCUUCCUGCAUGGGUGUUUUCCUUGAAUACUGGAAGUUGUACCACUAGACGCAGCAACAAGAACUGGUAUAACCUUGGCUUCACUGUUUGGAUUAUACACUUCCAGUUGGGAGUGAAACUCUGUAAAGAUCACUCUGUCCCAGCUGUAAAGUUGAAUUACAUGAUAAGUUAUCUGAGAAGUUCAUACUUCGAAUUAAUUUUGGGGAUCAAAACUGGCUUUAUUUGACCACUGUUACGAAAGAACGGUCAAGCACUGUUUUUCUCCCGUUUGUUAAAAGUGUUCCAAACCCAGUUGGAGCGUUGUUCAUGCUGUGUUGGCUAAUGGGUAGAAAGAAGGCACUCUCUAAGGACAUUUGCUGAAGCAAUUACAUCUCCUUGGCCAGAUUUUGGAGUAUAAUAUUUGACCUUCUCUGGACUUCAGAUAGCAGCCAGAAGGCAAAGUGAAGGAAUUUGUUUACUACAAGGGUGAUAGUUUGAUGGAUAUCACUACUGUAUCAAAGGAAAGUUACUCUGUUAUUUCUACCAACAUUCCAUAGAGAAUAACAAACCCUUUGUUUUUCAAACCCAUCUGGAUUACACAUCGCGUUGUGAUUUUGAUGAAGGCAAUAAUUGCAUUUUUCGCUCCAUGAUUGUUUCGAGAACUUGGCCUUAUAAUUCAUUGCUGAUUGUCGCUUGGGUUGUGAGUAAGCGUGUAUUGAUCUAUUGGACAGUCAUCCGUGCUUAUCAUCACUGCAUUGUUUAAGCGGAAGCAGGGUGAUGCUCAUUGGUAUCUGACAGUCUGACUUUCUGGUCCCCAAGUGCUUGAACCUCAUCAUUCAUAAUCAAGAGUCUGAUUCAACUCCAAGCAUCUCAUCACAUCAACAUCAUUGACCCAACUUUCAAGUCCAACAAAGGAUCUUAAUCACUAUCUGUGAUCAUUCUGAUGGAUAACCUGUAAUUGUUGGGCAAACCCCAGCGGCUUAAUCCAUCCACCAUACACCGUCGUCGACAGUCUCGGCUCAAUCAUAUCAAUAAAUAUUUGAUCUGAAGAUCUUUCCCGGAAGGUUUCGGGCCCCCCCCCGGAUGAGGAAUAAGGAAAACAUUUUCCCCCCGACACAUCUGUGUUCGCCAUCUUAUUUUGACUCAGACCCAUUACCGAACCUCAUUUACUCGCCGCCGCAGUGAUCGCACCGUCCCGAGCGAUUCUUUUACCAGACUCACACUCAUGGAUAGAAUCAUUCAAUAAAAUACUUUCUCUAUUUCUCCGUCUUGGUCAGCCCCUUAUUUGGCUCUGUGAUCCAGCCCCCUCCUAGCCCUUCACCAAUCUCCAUAUUACAUCUCUACAUUUUCUGGACCUGACAAGGAUUACUGCGGUGCUCUCUAACUUUGGGAGGAGGCGGUUUUGAGGAGAGCAAGUCGGAAAGCCAGAGUGAAAUUUUAUCUUGAGGAAUUAAGCCAAGAAGGAUAUUUUUAGCACGACUUGCCCGUGCUUUGAAACACAUGCACCCAUUUGGAUUAUUUUUUAUCAGCUUGUGAGAAUUAUCUUGUCAAAAUGCCGCCUGUAAUUGCCGCUAUUCCUGGACGCAGAUUCUCAUUGCGUCGAAGGAGGAGAGAGAUGGAGGGGCAGUUAUACUGCGAGGAACACACACCAAAAGAAAAACCUCCGGUAAAUGGAGGUGUUGCUGUCAAG